UUCGGAUAAACAGUGUUUGGAAUAGCGGUGUUCAACUGUAGGACUCAUUUUGUCCCGUCCCUCUGUCUGUCUGUAGGUUUGCACACACAGAUGGGUAUAUAUUGGAAACUAAUUUCUUCUCUCAGUAUAGGUAAAAAAUAUUUGAGGUAGCACUUGUUGGUUAGGAUAAGUUAGGGUUUGUAGGGCAUGUUUUUGAACGGGGGCCCUUCAGGGCCACGUUCAUAGUAGGCACAUCAGAUCGUUACUACAAAUGAUUACACGGUGAUUCGGUCGAAAUAAUGCACUAAUUGAAUGCUUGAAUACACAUGACAUCUUUAAACUUCAACAAAACUGAAUUAAUGUAUAGUAAUAGUGUUUUAGCUAAAGCGGAAUGGAAGGGCGGCCCGCCCUGCCCUUUUUUGACCCCGCCCCGUUGCCCCUUUUUACAAGCCCCGUCAUAUUUUUCCCGCCCCCUUGCGCCCUUCUGGCCAUUCAGAUCGUUGUUUAUCACAAAGUUACGCCCUAAAAGUAUUUCAUUGGUCAAUGUCGCCGUUUCCUAAUCUGUCACACCUUAACGGUAAAUCACGCUUAUAAUCAGGGUGCUAAUUGCUGUUCAUUAUGACACAUUAUUCCUUGUCUGAGACAUCGAAGUUGUACCUCUAAAUGUCGAUCUUUGAUGCCAAUGUUGUUACAAAUUUAAUUAAUUUAGCCAUUUAUAAUCGUUAAUCUCCUAAUCACAUAAUUGGGUCGUCUAUCAUCCAAUUAUCGAAACGUCCCAUGUUAACCAAUCAGAGAAGACACUGGUCAAAUGAUUAAAAGUUAGUUAAAUUGGGAUAGAAAAAGCGAAGAAAUGAUGAAAAAUGUUGUCAAGCAUUAGUAAACAAUUAUACUUGCAGUGUAAAAACAAGGCACACUUUCUAGAACAUUGUUUUGUUUGAAGCAGACGGUCAUUGAAAAACAGACGGUGGCGCUAAGAAAAUCAAAUACUUGACUUCAUGACUAAUAUUUGAUAGUGUUGAAUGCUCAUAAUGAAAAUUUGUUUUGUAAUCUCAAAACUUUUUUAUUUGCUUUAUAUAGCGUUUACUUACAGUAUUUUCCUCCUUUGUACGAUGUUUAAAGUAGAAGAUUUGGCGUGUCACCGCCAUUUUGUCAUAACAUUUUUCGGAGUUUAUUUCUCAAUUUUCUAGUUCUAUUUUUAAGUAUUAGUGAGUAUUUCAUUAAGGAUAGAGAUUUUAAAUGUCAUUUUGUUUUAAAAUAUCAGCAUAUUGAAAUUUAUUUAACCAAAGACAAGUAAACAACAGCAAAGCUGAAUGUGACAUUCGUACCCUAUCCUGAUUGUACCAAAACAAGAUUCGCCCCCUGCACUUAAAUGUUUUUAACAGCUCAUAUAUAAGGCCAUUCUGAUUGUCCUUGUUUUUAUUUUAGACACUUUUUGGAGGUAAACUAUACAUUGCAAAAAAGAGACUCUAGACAAGUACACUUUUGAUAGGCCAAAAAGAACACUUUUUUUGAACAUAUCAUCUAGUAAAAGCAAUCAAAGUAAAUGUGAAUUUAAAGUUUUGUGGCAUGGCACAAUAUAUAUCUCAGGUUUUACGAUAAGGAUCUCUUCUCCUUAAAGUCUCCCCACUUCUCCCUAAUUUGACUGGUGGGAGAAGUGACUUCUCCCCAAAAAAUCAGCCUUGUGAGAGCCCAGGUGACAACAACCCGAGAUGGUAAAGAAAGUGUCUGAAGUGAAAAUGAACAAGGGAGAAGAAUUAAGAGUAUUCUGUAGUGAUAUUACUACAAUGUGUGCAUGAACAUGCAUGUACUUUGAUAAGGUACAUGGUCGUUUUACAACAAUACAAAGCUAAUAUUGUGCGCAUUGUUUUCCCAUUUAAGAAAGCACUAUGCCCUUAUUUAGGCCCACCCUGCCCUUUUUUUGGCCCACCCUGCCCUUUUUAAUUCCUGGCUAAAACACUAAUAGUAAUGUACACUUGAACUCGUACAUUUUGCAUAUCCCUGAAAAUGCAGCUGAAAACAAUCACAAAAUGAAGACAACAUAUUUAUACGCAACUGCUCGAAAAACUAAGUGUAUUGUUACAGGUGUGAGUCGGUUAUAAGAAGUAGUUACCAUAAUUGAUUAACCGAUUCCAAACAAUUCAAAAAUUUCCUUAAAAAUGAAAUGAUAUGUAAACACUAUUUCACUGAUCAAUAAACAAACAAACGAAGUGAAUGCUUUUUGGAAACCGUAUAUCGAUAAAGUAUAUUAUACAGAUUACACCGCCUCUAUUUAGCAUGAUCAUUUCACUUUUCGAUCGUCGCCAUUUUGUAAGCGCCCUGCCUAAGAGUGUGUCAUGGACUUCAGGUGGAUUAAAUGUGUAUUACCCGGGAGGAUUUUGAAAUAACCAGCCAGACAGCCCGCCGAGCUGCCCACCCGGCCGAGCUGUACUUUGUGUAUGCCGACAUGCUGUAAUUUGUUAGUACUUCAAGAUCAUAGAAUGGAAAAUUGUAUCCAAACUGAAGUAUAAUUUGACGAGCCUGGUUGCUGUAGCCACAGGGGAAUUUUCAAGGACAAGAACCAGUGCUGGUAGAAAUGUGGUCUCAUGUGGUUUUCCAUACCGGCAUUCGGCAUUCAGCAAGAUUUCAGAGAAAGGAUUACUGUCUCCAAAUCAUGAUGUGCCAAUAAGCUCCAGUUAGCUGUGCCUUUUUCCUCCCACCGGUAGUCCUUCAACCUGAAUCCAGGAGAUGCAGCUCUGAAUCCAAUAUUUCAGGAGAAUGAAUAUAAAACUGAAGCCUUCAGGAAGUCAAUGCCACCAUGGUAUUGAUUUAUUCAGCUCUGAUGUACUCAGCUGUGAUGUAACAUGCUUUCAAGCCGCUAUCCGAAGAACAUUCAGACGUUCUAAAUGGACCAUUGCCCUGUUGCCAUGGAAAUCAUUAUGAGGAGGAGCACACAAACUGUCACUUGUUUUGGAUAUCAGAUGUACCACGAACUGACCAUAAACUUUUCAGAUGCUCUGUUUAUUUCAUCAGCCAAUUUCGAUGUAAAUUUUACUGAAUAAUGACAAACAGUCUUACUCAUAAGCAUCUCUUACUCGUUCGUAUUCCACAACUAAACAUGCUUGCAAUUACACUGUGCCAUCUAUCAUAAUAUAGCAAUGCUGCAAUGUCCACAUUUUUUUGUACCAGUUGUUGCUUUAUACUGAAACUUUUAUUGAAAAUGGUGCAUAAACACUGACAACACAUCAAUGUUUCAUUCAUACAUUUGUACAUGUUCUUUCAGUGUUGAUAAUGUUGACAUAUUUCAUGUACAUUUACACAUGUGUUUAUUGCCAACCUCAUCAAAACAUGCAUAGGUUUGCUCACAUACAUAUUUCCAAAACAGACAUUUACUGAAUUUAUUACUACUUUACGUUGAUUUUGAUAUGUAAAUAAAACAUUGUACUACUUGUUUGUACAAAACACUUUUCAUUUGCUAUGUUGUUUGUUUCCAUGUUCUGUCUGCAUACAGAUGGUAUUAUCAUAUCAAUUUUUAGCUCGACUAUUCGUAGAAUAUGGAGAGCUAUACUACUCACCCAAGUGUCGGCGUCACACCUUGGUUAAGGAUUUGCGUGCAAGCACACAUAGGUUAAUAUCUCAGUAACUUCUUGAGGUAUCGCAUUGAGACUUGAUACAAUGGUACUCAACCAUCCAACCUACUUAAUUAACCAAGUUAGAUAACUCUACUUUGCAUUUAAUGCAAAUUAUAGGCUUUUAUUAUUUGACUUAGAAAUUCUGGUUAAGGUUUUGCGUGCAAGCACACAUAGGUUAAUAUCUCAGCAACUACUUGAUGUGUUGCAUUGAGACCUUAUACAAUGGUACUCAACCAUAUCUCAUUAAGUACUUGAGGUAUUGCAUUGAGACUUGAUACAAUGGUACUCAACAAUCCAAUCUACUGAAUUAACAAAGUUAAAUAACUGAAGUUUGCAUUUAAUCCAAAUAAUAGGACUUUAUUAUUCAACUUAGAAAUUCAGGUUAAGGUUUUGUGUGCAAGCACACAUAGGUUAAUAUCUCAGCAGCUACUUGAGGUAUCGCAUUGAGACAUGUUACAAGGUACUCAACCAUCCAACCUUAUUAAUUAACCAAGUAAGAUAACUUGACUUUGCAUUUAAUGCAAAUGAUAGGCCUUUAUUAUUUGACAUUAUAUAAAUAUCAAAGCAACUACUUGAUGUAUUGCAUUGAGACUCAUACAAUUGUACUCAACCAUCAAACUUCCCCAUGUAAGAUAGCUCUAGUUUCAUUAAAUGCAAAUAAUUGCCCUUUAUUAUUCGACAUAGAAAUUCUAGUUAAGGUUUUGCGUGUAAGCACACAUAGGUAAAUUUCUCAGCAACUACUCGAUGUAUUGCAUUGAGACUUUAUAGAAUGGUAUUCAACCACUAAAUGUCAUGGAAUAACCAAGAUAUAUAACUGUAUUUUGCAAAUAAUUGCCCUUUAUUAUUAGACUUAAACAUUCUGGUUGAAAUUUUCCAUGUAGCCACAUUUAUGUUUAUAUCUCACCACAUGAUUUGCAUUGAAAUCUUAUCUAACAGCGAUCCAUGCAUGUUUCGCCAAAACUUUUCAAUCCUUACACUGAAAAGCGGCGGAAUAGUUGAGCCGGCUGUCUCUGUGCCAGCUCUUGUUCAAAAUUAACGUGAUGUUCAUUUCCAUUGUGAAACUUAUCCCUUGGGAACGUUCAAACAUAUUCUACAUACAUUAUUUUUUAUCUUACACUGUAUAUAUAUGUUCUAUAUGUAUAUAUCACGCCUAAUAAAAUUGAAGCCUGUCAA